GGAAGUCCGCCGAGAAAAAUCCGCUAUGAAAGCAUGGCUGUGGCGACAGUUAUCAUAAAGCGGGACUGGUUGAUUGCUACUGCGAUGCUGUGUGGCUGCUCCAAGCUAAACGUAGCAUGUGGACAUCGCAUACUUUAAGAGCCAUUAAGUGAAUUUGUGUUUAAAAUGUU